UCCUGACAUUCGAAACUCGGUACUUCUAAAAAAGUACUAUUUUGUAUUUUCGUUUUCACUGACAGUUAUGCUACAAGAUGUACGAAGGCGGAAUCUUUUUCGCAAAGCAACCCUGUCAAAAAGUAUUGAGUUGAGAAGAACAUGAACAUAGAAAAGUGAGUUUCGCAUCAAUGAAGUUAAAUUGUGGUCCAAUUGAAAAAUUUCGGCAUUUUCAUUUUGAAAAAACAGUGAAUAUAUAAUUGAUAUAAAAAUUUAUUGCAUAAUGCACGGGUUUAUACGAUAUAAUAUUGUGCAGUUAAUUGUAGAUCGAAAUAAGUGAAAAGAUAUGUAAAAGCAAAAACUUAACUUGCAAUAACUGUGCCAUUGCAUUGGUGUGAGAAAGAGAUGGGUCGAAUUGGCCAGUGAUGCAAGUGCGGCCAAUAAGUAUAAGAAAAAAGGAGUUGGUUCUAUAAGUGUCAGCUGGGUCUGUCAAAACGAAUGAAAACAGGAAAAUUUGCUUUUGUUUGUUAGUUUGUCUUUAAUUCUUCCGCUGUCUACUUUAUGCAAAUUUUAUGAAAAACUGAAUUAAUGAUCUUGAAAAGAAGUAAAGAAAUCUAAUUGUGGCAAAUUUAAAUGACUUUGGGUUAAAGGAAUCUUGGAAAAUAAGAAAAUAACCAUUAAAUUGUAGACCGUAGAAAAAUGAAAAUACGUAUGAAAAAAAAAUAGUUGCAAAGACAUUCCAGCAAUUGAAAAAAGAACAGUGAAAAGAGCGUUCUGAUAAAUAGGGGAAGCGAUAGAUAGAGCUAACGCGAGGAAAGGAAAAACUGAUGAAAAUGAAUUGAAUAGUAAUGGGAUACAAAGGAAAAACGAAAUCAAAGAACGGGAACGAAUAAACGACGCACGACUUUAUCCAUCCACCACUAUACACGGGUAGGAAGAAAAGUGAUGCGAUAAAUCUGAGAUCUAUAGAAGAAAUGUGCUUCAGAGGCUAUAGAAAAUUUGCAGAAAAAACGAAACGCAACAAUUUUGGAUAUAAAUUCGAGUUAAUCACGAUUCAAAAGAAUUGUAAUCCUCAUUUUUGUGACCAAAAGUUGGCUUUUAAAGGGUCAAAAUGAGUCCACAGGUCAGAUUUCGUUGUAUUGGAGAAAUAAUCGGAUAAGCUCCUGUUCCACACUAAUUUGCUAAGAGUAUGAGAACGACCUUAUUGGGUACAUCAAUAACUUAUCGCCCAACAACAUCCCAACAUAACAAAAUCUCAUUGACUAUGGAAUCGCAUUUACCUUCUGUGCGUCAGAAAAUAAAUGCUGAUCCUAUGGCAGAAAAAACGGAACACGUUAAUCUCUUGAGUGAGGAGGAGGAAAAGGAUCCCCUAGCAUUAGAUACUGCUAUCGAACAACAUAGCUCGCGAAAUAAGCUAUCAAAUAGCGCCAAGCACAGCCACAGUUUACGACGUCAUGUUCCUCGCAUCAUUGUUAAACCCAUACCACCCGAGAAAAAGGUUACAGUUACGGCGACAACAACGUUGAGUAGCAACGUUGCAACGUCAACGGCAACUGCAACUGCGAAUACUGUGAUUAAUGCCACCGGUGGAAAGAACACAACACCUAGCCCUUCAAGCCGUGCCAGUAGUAGUCGACGUGCACAACAGCAAGCUAAAGCAGCAGCAGCUGCUGCUGCCGCUGCAGCUGCCCCCGCGACAACAACCGGAUCCGCAUCUAUAACUACGCCCGUAACAGCCAUUACACAAGCGUCCACUAUGCGUGAGGUGUUAGCAUCAAUACCAGGGUUCAGUUUUAAACCUCGUAGACGGUCUUCCAAGAAAAUCUCCACUGCUGCACAAAUAGAGCAAACAAAAGAUGGAAAAAUUGACCUCGAAACACCCGACUCAAUAUUAGCUUCGACCAAUUUGAGAGCCUUACUCAAUAAACAAACCUUUUCUAUGCUGCCUCCAUUAUAUCAGUAUAACCUCAUACAGUUGUUACCAAGCGUAGAUCGCGAGGCUAUCGAAAUAGAGCGCAAAAACAAUGCCGAUUCCACCGUUACUAUGGAAGCUAUAAAAUUGGGUCCAUCCAGCCUAAAUAAUGAGUUCUUUGCACGUGCCUGCUUGGAGUGGCGUGAACGACUGGCGGAAGGUGAAUUCACGCCCGAAAAUCAAAUGAAAAUGAAAACUGAAGCCGAGAGAGAAAAAAAUAAAUUGGAUCCAUGGAAAUUAAAACAUUUCGAACCGAUAUGGGGUGAAAAAUCCUACAAUCGCGCCAGUAGUACUAGUAGCAAUAGCAGCAAUAUAAGUUAUAGUAGUGGUAAAAGCAGUGAUAGUUAUACUAAUCUAAUAGAUGAGCGGCUAGAAUUCAAAUUGGAGAGUAAAGGCGGCCUGGUCGCCACCAUUGUGAAGACAUCUACAAAAUCAACAGCAGCAGCAGCGUCAACCGCUACAUCAUUAGCGGCGACAACGUCAGCAGCUUCUACAACGACAACAACCGUGACAUCAGCAACAAGUGCUGAGAGUACAGAGAACACAACAUCAUCUUCUGUAGACAUUAAAGAAGAGGGAGAAGAAUUUGUUGACGAAUCGAUUGCCAGUACGAAUGUGAACUCAAUAAAAAGUGAGCAGGAAAUACAGCUCGACGAGUUGCGACAACAAGAACAAACAGGAUCAUCUACAACCGAUUAUGAAAAACAGACUGAUACAAAUUGCGAUGUGGAUAAUAUUGGCUGCACGGAUUCAUCAUCAACCUUUGAUUUAUUGCGUAGCGAUUCUAGUGGCAUACAAACCGAAACGCCCGGCGAAGAGUCUAAAAUAUCAUUAGCACUUGCUGCUUUGGAACAUGAAAGACAGCUGAUUGAGUGUGGGAGCAGCGGCAAUAUACGAAAACGUUCGGAGCCUGACAUUUCAUAUGAAAAUCGUACACAAAGUAAGCAAAUGAAAAUGGAACACCAAACAGAACAGCUGCGCCAGCAGCAACCUGAAUAUGAUAUAACUGACGCAGCGACCAGUAUAGAACAAGAAGUUAGCCAUGCCAUUAAAGAUGAGCUCAAAGACACACUCUCGCCAUCCGUGUCAUCGGCUACUUCCAGCUCACAAGAAUUGAGUGGUAGUAAUAGUUUAACCACCAGUUCAUCCGCAACAAAAAUGCCCACCAACGAUAGUUUUUUGUAUAACAGCAAUAUCUACAACACAGAAUUCGAACAGCAAGCCAAUGCCGCGCUGCUGCUUAAAGAAACAUUGAUGUCUACAGUCAGUAGUGAAGAGACAAUUGUUGGCAAUAAUAUAACCGAUAUGAGCAUGAAAGCGUCGAAUUUCCUAGAAAACCCAGAGACAUCAUUUGCCGCAGCAAUUACGUCUGUGGCAAAUAGUACCUGUAACAGUAUUGCAACACUUCUGUCAGGCACUUCAACGUUUGUGAAUGUGAAUGCGGUAUUACCAGCAGUGUCAUCAGCGCCAAGCCUUAGCAGCGGUAUAACAUUGCAAACUUUCCCAACGCAAGGCAAACAAUUGCAUGGAUGUUCAAUAAUUUCAAUAGAAGACGGUGAGGACGAUGAUGAUGAGCUAAUUGAACAAAAGUUUGCUGACGCACAAAAUUAUGUUUUAGAAUCUGGCGAAGUUAGUACAGACAGCAGUGCUGGUACAAACAGUGCUUUACUUACGCCAGGCGAUGCCGCUAAUAUGAAGGAGAAAAAAUUCAUUUUCUGUGAUUCAGUUGAUCAAGGCACAACAUCUCAAGCUUGUGACAAUCUCUUUGAAAAUAAGCAAGAUAUUGGCAGUUGUAUCUCAUCAGUGGCCACCUCAUCGGCCUCCUCGUCCUCUUCCUCCUCAAUGACUUCGGCACCGACGACCAGUGGUGAUGUGUUGUAUGCAGCAGCGGCUCAACUGCCACUCGCCGCUCCGCUAACACUCGAACAAAAGCAACAACAACAACAUCAACAAAUUAUACUGUCUAUGGCUGAGAAAACAGGCGGGGAUUUGUUCCAUCAUGUGCAACACGAUUGGAACUUCGGCGGCAUAAAGUUGCAACAGCCCACAGAUGCAACGUCGAGUAGUUUUAACGGUGUGAUACAAACGCAUCAAGGCGUUAUAAAAGUGAAAAAUAUGAAUACGUUAUCAGUGGAAGAUGCACAUAUGCCAAGCAUGGAUGCAACACAAGCUGACGAAGUUGUCGAGUGCAUGGCUGUUGGUGGUGACGAGGAAGCGGUUGCAGCUCAAGUGGCAAUUGCUAAUUGUCGUGCUGUGGGUGUCGUUGGUGAAGGCGAUGAACAUGCAAAUGUUGAUGGUAAUAUUCGGACGGAGGAUGUGGAAGAUGAUGACGAGGCGGAGGAGGAGGAUGAGGACGACGAUGAUGAUGACGCUGAUGAUAAUGAUGCUGUACGUGAUAUAGUUGACGAAUUGCAACAACAACAUAGACAACUGCUUAAAGAUCAACAACAGCAGCAGCAACAACAACAACUGCAACAUCAACAACAAUUAGAGGAACAACAAGAAUUGCGUGAAACAGAAAAUCAAGAGCACCGAGGCCAUUUAACCUACGAACAUUCCGACUAUGAGUUGGAUACGGAUAUGAUUUGCGAUGUUCAAAUGUCAGCUAACGAAAUGGAAGUGUCUAGCACGGUUAUAACGAACAGCAAUUCCGACGACAGCGUUAACGAAUUGCAUAUGGGUGGCGGUGGCAACAGUCGGCUUGAUGGUAAUGUGACCAUACAAUUGAGCGCCCACUCGCCGGCAACCAUCGGUCAUUUGCAUCAGCAACAGCAAGCGCAGCACGCGCAAUCACAACAGCCAACAACGGAGCGACAAAAUACGCCACAACGGCAAAUACUUCUUGAUACGAAUGGACAAAUUAUAGGCAAUUUUCUUGUACAACAUCAACAACAGCAGCAACAGCAACUCGAACAUCAACAGCAACUUUUGCAACAAGCCACGCAACAGUUUACCUUUCAGGCAGCACAACCACAGCAACAACAACAGCAAACACCAACUAUAGCGCUUUCGACACAGCAGCACAUACAACAACAACAGCAGCAGCAGCAGCAGCAACAUACGCAAAAAUCCCAUCAUACACUGUCGACAAUACGAAAAGCGAUCGAGUUGAGCACAAAUGGACAACACUAUCUCUCACCGGGUGGUAUAACGGCUCAACAGCAUAUCGGCCAACAAUUAGUGCUCCAACAACAAGCGCCACAGCAAAGACACUUUUUGACACAGCCACAAGUUCCUACGGUGUCGGCGGCAACUAAUUGCAAUAUGGUAACAGCUAGUCCGACUCAACAGCAGCAGCAUCAAAUUCAUGUGCAACAACAACUUCAGCGUUUUCAGCAGCAGCAACAACAACCACCACCUAUGCCCGCCUUUCAAUCAUUAGCCACACAAGCGCAGAACAAUCCAACAAAAUAUCUUUCGAAGCCAAUGAAUCUUAUAACAAUGUCUCGCGGCACGAAUGCGGGCACCGUUGCGAAUGCAAAUGCAAGCAUUGCUUCGGUCACCAUACCGUCUGUGAGUACAUAUCCGCCUUUUAGCAGCACCAUCGCGAACUCAGCACGCGCAACGGAACUGAUUGUAAACGCUGCCUCCAACAUGAGUAAUGUUAGCACAUCGAAUGUCAGCGUCGCAAAUACAAAUGCCAUAAAAGGUCUAACACCAGCUGGCAUACCUACCACAAUUGCACAGCAACGGCCAGCGAGUAAAUUACCAACCGGCGGUAAAGGACGUAAAACCGUUAAUAAACUGCCACCAGGAGCGGUCAAUUUAGAACGCAGCUAUCAAAUUUGUCAAGCCGUUAUCCAAAACAGUCCAAAUCGCGAGAAUUUGAAAGCACAAUUACGACCGCCAUCGGCUAUAUUAAAUCAGCAUCAACAACAACCGCAGCAACAACAGCAGCAACAGUUGACACAGAGUAAUAUAGCAACGGCAAUGACGCUGCAGGGCACUGUACCAGCAUCAUCGGUGGCAGCAUCAACAGCCGCUAUAUCGGUAGCGACAUCGUCUCCAGCUGCAACCAGCGCUUCGUCAUCUCAAAAUUUUAUCAAACAAGAGGACCUAACUAGCAUUCCUGCAAAUAUAAUGGGCGUUGGACGUCCUGGCGUAUAUAAGGUAAUCGGCCCACGCAUGGGCUUUCCACGUAAAAAGUAUGUGCAACGAAAACCUUCGCCCACUCUUAUAAGACAUCUCUUCACACCGCAAACGGCCAAUGCGCUACACACCAACGUAACGGCAAAUCCACGUUUGCAACAGCAAUUAACAGCAGCAGCUGCCGUGCAACAACAACAGCAGCCACACGAUCUACAUCAAAAUAGUAAUGGUGGUGGACAAUAUGUGUUGGUGCAUCGAGCGAAUGUCGGAGCAGCUGAUAAUCAAGCGCCACGAGCAUCUAGCGCACCGCCCGUGCCACAAACAACACAGAUACCUUAUUGUUUCUUAUAGAGUCAACUGCACAAUAUGAAUGGAAUACCGAUAACAGGACGCGGGCGUCCUGCCUCCGUCGAUAUUGACGCUUCAAAUGCAAUGCUUGACCACAAUAUGCACAAUCAAUUGCAUCAUCAUCAACAACAACAACAAAUAAAUGCUAUAAAAACAACUGCAGCGACUGGUAUAAUGCGUCGAAAUUUCACGGCCGGCAAUAUAACUUAUAUCGACAAUUUAAGUGGAACAGGAGCAGCUAUUGCCGAUGGCAAUUACAUAGUGACCGCAACCAAUGCUAGCACACUGGAUGCUGAACAAUUGGUAAGCAAAGCCGUUGCUGUGGCCGCCGCUGCAGCUGGUAACGGUAGUGGCGGCGGCGGUGCUGGAGGCGCUGGCAGCGACGGUAGUGGCCAUAUCACACGAACUGAAGCGGACAACUGUGCCUGCUCGUUGAAUGCAAUGGUUAUUUGUCAGCAAUGUGGCGCAUUCUGUCAUAACGAUUGCAUGAGUGCGUCGAAGGUGUGCGUCUCCUGUGUGAUCAGAUGAGAUAAUGAAGUCUCUGUAAUAACCUUUUAGGCCUUGCGCACAUGUAGUAGAAGUAUUUGUGGUUCUGCACUAAACAAAAUACAACAAUAGCUAUACAUAUAUAUAUAGAUAUAUAUAUUAGUACUUGAAUAGAUAUACCUAAUUACAUAUACAUAGAUAUAUUUACACCAAUAUAUCAACUUAAACACGAAUUCUGAAUUCUGCAAAACAAAAACUAACCCAACAAAUAUAAUAAUAAUAAACACACAAAUUAACAGCUGGUAAAUGCAUAAAUAACUAAAUAUACACAAAUAAAAAUAAGUUCUGCUAUAGAAAAUGCUUAAUGCAACUAUAUAUACAUGCUGAACUAUGAGAAUCGCUGCCGUUCAGUUUGAACAAGCGUUGUGAAUUUUUGUAUAUUAUAGUGAAAGUAGUAGGUGUAGUAGAGGAGAUAUUAAAAGUUUGAAUACUUUUAUUACUAUAUCUUUUUUUCUCUUUUUUUUGUUUAAUUAAUUUACUAUUAGUCUAUUGUUCAUCGACAUGCAAUUACGACGAACGUUUGAAAUAACAAAAGCAAUGUUUAUUUGUGUCCCUACUUAUUUGUUGCUAGUACUUUCGCUAUAAUAUGCAAGAAAUUGCGACGAAUUCAAGUUAUGCCUUUAAUGCUGAGACGAUAAUUGCAUAAAUUUUCAUUAUUAUUAUUUUUUUUUUUUUGGUAUAUAUUUAACAAGCAUAUUUCAUAAAAACCAUUUGCAAAGCGUUAAACAUGCUCGUAAAAUGCUUUUAGGACAAAAAUUAACUUAAAAAUUGAGUGUAAAAUCCACAGACCGCGUUAAGGCCAGCGAAAAUGUUGUUCAUUGUUGCAGUAACAAAUAUCAUGAUACAUUAAUUUAACAAUGAAUAUUGAUAUACAAUUAGACAGAACAUAAUUUAUGCUAAUUAAGUGAACUUUUGUGAGAAUUUUUGCAUAAUUUGAUUGUGAGAUCCUUAGAAAGACUUCAAAGUAUAAUAUAUAAACAUAAAUAUAUAUAUAUAUAUAUAUAAAUACAAUUAAUAUAGUACUACUAUUUUUUUAUUGCAUACCAUAAAAGUUUUUAAUGAGAAGCCCAGUUUCAUUCACCACUUAUUUUAGGUAUAUUUAAUACUUUUAUGUUAACGUACACAAUAAUGAGGUUUAAGUGCCGCUAAAUAUACAUAUGUACAUAAAAAUAGCGAGUGUCUGCUGUAAAAAAAUAAAAUAAAAUAAAAGUAUGAAUUUUUCACACACACACACACACACACUUGCCCAACGCGAAAUUCUCACUAUCAAUAUAUUUAUUCUCAUUGAAUACUGCAAAAUAUGCGAAAUAUUGCAUAUGUGUUUUUUACGAAAAUAUUUUAUGCAUUUUGAAAUUGCAAAAAUUUCGAAAAUUGUUUUCCUUUUAUCCGUUAUAGUUUGUAUUACUUAUUACGAAUUAAUUGCCGUAAGCGUUAUGUAUAUGUAACAUAUAAGUACAUUAUGUAUGUAUAUUUUUCAAUAAACAUACCUAAGUAAAUGAUGAUUAAUAAUAAUCUAUAUAUGUAAUAAAUAUUUUGUAUAUAUUUAUUAAAAUUCGAAUAUUUUAUGUUCGUUGCUCUAUUAAUUGUAAUAUAAGCUAUUAUAUAUGAAUAAAAAUAAAUACACACAAACACACAAACAUACAUACAUUACAUAUAUAUAUAUAUAUAUAUAUAUAUAUAUAUAUAAAUAUAUAUAAUUAAAUAAAUAUAUAGAACGUUAAAAUUAAGUAAAAUGUUUACAAUUGGUUCCAACUGUCCCCCUGAGUGCAUACAUACAUACAUACCUUAAGAUAUUAACAAAAAACUUAAUUACGUCUAAAUAAGGCUUAACGGUACACACACAAUAAUAUGUAUGUAAGUAUAUUUAAGUGAGUGCCAGCCAACUACAUCGUACACACAUAAGAAAAUACACCAAUUUAGUUUUCGUUACUACUGCUUGGUGAUAUGUUUGUUAGGCCGCAGGCAGACGCUGGAACCCCGUGUAAGCGCAUAUUCUGUAAAUAAUAUUAUAUAAGUCGCCCUAAUAUGAACACCUUAUAUAACAAACAAACAAACAUAAAUACAUAAUGCAUACAUUAACACAAAAGCAUACAUACAUACAUAAUUACACACAAACACUACUCGUACUGUAUUUUAAACUAAAGUAAAUGAAUAAAGAGAGAUCCGUUGAUACAGAAAAUAGAAUUAAAAACUACAUACAUGAAUAAAUACAUAAUUUUGCUCCUAGACGCACGUAUCGCAAAAUAUCCAAUAAAUAUUAUAAAAAAAAACAAAUACAAGUUUAAUAA